UUUGGCAGAAUGAAACUUUAUUGUAAAUCACAGAAAAAUUAGGUCAGCAAACAGUUCUGUGUUGUGAUUGGACAAAAUCAUAGUUGCUGAGACUGUUCAGCCAAUAAAUGCCCAAGAAUCACUUUUUUGAAUCUGAGCACCAGCUGCGCCAGGAGAGUGAUCUGAAGAAGAUACAGCCUGGCUGCACAGAAGUCCUUGUUCACGCCAAGUGUUAAUGUUUAGGAUCAACUAAAGAAAACCUCAGUUCAACCUAGUCAUCAGGAACAUAUUUCGCUGUGUUCCCACGUCUUCAGAAGAGUCCUACAAGCAAAAGGACGUGGCCAAGACAAGGCAGUGGCCACUGGUUUCAUGAUGGCUAACAAGAUCAUUGAGAGAAGCUGCCCACAGUAUCCAAAGCCUGGAGUUAUGGAAAUGUUUCUUCCUUAUAGAUGCCUCCUAAGAUGACUGACAUCUUUCUCACAGCUAAUGAUAAAACGGUUAUGUAGUGAUGGCUAAGGGUGAGUGAACUGAGACUGAAGAAAACUAAAGUGCACAGUGAUGAACAGUGUCAUUCUAUGAGAUAUUUGAUGUGAGCAUUAAGGACUGUAACAAGUGUUUCAGUAUUAGGUUCUGUGAUUGGCCCUUGUGCUUUGUAUUAGCCAAUUAAAAGUCCUCAUUGUAGAGACAUACACAGUGUAGCUGUCCUGAAUGUAGUGUGGCUGCUUGGUCCUUGAAGUUGCUGGUUUUGUGCUCAGCAUGUGUAAAGGAAACCAAGUGAGCUCUUGUGAUAUUUGCAAUACUUCCCAAACAGACUUUACUUGUGCAGGCCGCCAGGUAUAUUAACGGCCGCUCCGGUAUAAUUGGCGACCGAUUUUAGAUUUUUUUUAAUUUUCAGGAUGAUGCCAUCCGCGAUUGAUUAACUAGUGGACCUCCCCUCGCUCUACCUCGUCCCGUGUGGUCUACUACAGAGAAACAGAGAGAAGUUCUCUGACAUUACGUUAGAAUAAGCGGACACGGUGGAUAUUUUACAAGCACGGACCAGGUAAAGCAACAGUGAUUGUUUCAUUAACAACAAGCCUCCUCUACACGUGGCUCACCUGCGGCUGUGAAAACGGAAUCGCGAGUUGCGAGUCUUAAUAUUUCUGUGUCAUUCUGUGGGAAACACUGAUUUGGUCUCUACAAACUGGAUAUUAAGUAGGGAUGCAUGAUAUAUUGGGCAGAUAAAUUGGAAAUUUAUAUUAUCAGCUAUAUCAACAAGGCAAGAUGGUGCGAGUUUGCUGUUCAUUAUUGUGUUUCUACUGUUUGUCAUUCAUGAUGUGUCAUCACUACUUGUGUAUAAUCGUCUGACGUUGCUGAAAAUACGGGAUACUGUGAACAAUUUGCCUCAAUGUGCAAAAAAUGGGCAUUCAAAUACACCGCCACCUCUGCUUGCUUCUGUGCCGGCUUACCUAUGGCGCCCUGUCUGCGCGUUGCCUCGCAACAAGAGGCGCAGGAGACGCGGAAAAAGAGGAGGGAUGCUGGUGAAACUCAAGGCUUACCUGGCUUCCUCGCGUCUGGAUUAUUCUGGCUGUUCCCUGAAUGGAAUACCCAUGGAUUGUACAAAUUUUGACCUGCGGCGCUCUUUGGAGUACUGCUAUCGGUGGCUCCAACCAGCUCUCCCUGACGCCGGG